UACAGAUGGGCCCGCGGUGCAUUAGCUAGUUGGUAGGGUAAUGGCCUACCAAGGCAACGAUGCAUAGCCGACCUGAGAGGGUGAUCGGCCACACUGGGACUGAGACACGGCCCAGACUCCUACGGGAGGCAGCAGUAGGGAAUCUUCCGCAAUGGACGAAAGUCUGACGGAGCAACGCCGCGUGUAUGAAGAAGGUUUUCGGAUCGUAAAGUACUGUUGUUAGAGAAGAACAAGGAUAAGAGUAACUGCUUGUCCCUUGACGGUAUCUAACCAGAAAGCCACGGCUAACUACGUGCCAGCAGCCGCGGUAAUACGUAGGUGGCAAGCGUUGUCCGGAUUUAUUGGGCGUAAAGCGCGCGCAGGCGGUCUUU
rnacentral:rRNA from 1 species